rnacentral:rRNA from 1 species
CCUACGGGGGGCAGCAGUGGGGAAUAUUGGACAAUGGGGGCAACCCUGAUCCAGCCAUGCCGCGUGUGUGAAGAAGGCCCUCGGGUUGUAAAGCACUUUCAGUGAGGAAGAACGCCUGGUGGUUAAUACCCAUCAGGAAAGACAUCACUCACAGAAGAAGCACCGGCUAACUCCGUGCCAGCAGCCGCGGUAAUACGGAGGGUGCGAGCGUUAAUCGCAAUUACUGGGCGUAAAGCGCGCGUAGGUGGCUUGAUAAGCCGGUUGUGAAAGCCCCGGGCUCAACCUGGGAACGGCAUCCGGAACUGUCAAGCUAGAGUGCAGGAGAGGAAGGUAGAAUUCCCGGUGUAGCGGUGAAAUGCGUAGAGAUCGGGAGGAAUACUAGUGGCGAAGGCGGCCUUCUGGACUGACACUGACACUGAGGUGCGAAAGCGUGGGUAGCAAACAGGAUUAGAUACCCCGGUAGUC